rnacentral:rRNA from 1 species
GUAGGGAAUAUUGCACAAUGGGCGAAAGCCUGAUGCAGCAACGCCGCGUGCGCGAUGAAGGCCUUCGGGUCGUAAAGCGCUUUUCGGGGAGAAGAGGAAGGACGGUAUCCCCGGAAGAAGGAUCGGCUAACUACGUGCCAGCAGCCGCGGUAACACGUAGGAUCCGAGCGUUAUCCGAAUUCACUGGGCGUAAAGCGCGUGCAGGCGGUACGGUAAGUUGGAUGUGAAAUCUCCUGGCUCAACUGGGAGGGGACGUUCAAUACUGUCGAACUAGAGGGCGGUAGAGGGAGGUGGAAUUCCCGGUGUAGUGGUGAAAUGCGUAGAUAUCGGGAGGAACACCAGAGGCGAAGGCGGCCUCCUGGACCGCACCUGACGCUCAGACGCGAAAGCUAGGGGAGCGAACGGGAUUAGAAACCCGAGUAGUCC